ensembl:lncRNA
AUAGAUACUAUAGAAGACAGCGCGCUAGCGUAUCUAGUCUGCUAUAUAUAUUUAUGGUUAGCAUGUCUGGUAACGUCUCUGGCUGCUGUUGACCUUGUUUUUGGAGUAAAACAAGGUGGAAGCUGAAUUAGUGAGGAUGACUCCUGCUCCUGUCAUCUCUAAGCUCCUCACACAUCUUUACCUGCACAUGAGGAAAAUCACUCCUGUAGAAUGCAGUGGUUCAUCAGAACCUCUGGGGAUGUCCUGUGGAUUCUGUGGGUCCUGUGGGUUGCAGGGUGGGUCCUACCUAGACCAGGCUGAUCCGGGACCAUCCUGUUGUCCAUAGAAUAUGUUCAGAGGGAGAUGAUGCCACAUCUGGUCCAGCCGAUGGAUGGUCUUGAAGUUCUCUGACUGGCCUCGACUGAAGAUGGUCGUCUCACUGGAUUUAAGGUUCAGAUGCUCAGUAACAAACUCCACCAAUGAGCCAACAGGGAAGCUUUAGGUUUAUUAAAUGUUGCUAUGAAGGUUUCACUGUUUUUCUUUGUGAAUGCAAUGUGCUCCAACUGAAACUUGAAUUAGAACUGAGAAGUAAAUCCUUCCAUCUGAAAGGAUUUAGUUGCAUUAAUAACCUCAUAACAUUCUAAUUUUUAUUCCAGUCUUGGUUGAAAAUAGAAUCUCUGUAUUGAUUCAGGUAAAAACUGAACUUCACAGUAUGUUGGAGCAAAACAACCAGAUGAAAACUGUGAUGGUGUUGGAUUGUCAGACCGUAAUGUUGCAGCUCAAAGCAGCUUUUCUAUCUCAGUUCAUUCUGACAUUCAGCUAUGAAUCAACACAGCAGAUGGUGAUCCAUGCUGUGGAAGUCUCACAUCUCCUGAUUUAAUGGAGCUGCUUUGCACUUUUUACACUGUUUAUUCACCAACACUUUAUUUAAUAAAAAUCCCAUCUAGUUUUUAUGAGGAAUGUGAUGUUUUAAUUUCUCUGUGAAUAACUGCAGUCUAAUGGAACAGCUGGAGUUGUAACAUCUGUCCUGAUAUUGAUCAUGAAGUAUUGAUCAGAAUACUUAUGGUUAGCAGUCAUCCCUGAAGUUUUACAUUAAAAUCUUUACUUGUGUUGUGAACUUUGGUAAGAAGCAGAAACUUUAGCGUUGCCAUGGAUACAUGAGUGUUAAAUUCUGUCCAUGUUUCCAUUUUGGGAAAUUCAGUCCAGUUCCAGAAUGUGGAGGAAUUUAGUCUUACAAUCACAGACAACAAAUAUUAUCUGAAAGUCGGGUUAUUGUUGUUUAUCAGCACAAUACAAAAAGAUUAAUGUUAGAAAUAUUCCAGUUAAGACUCUAGAAUAUCAUGAUUUAUGUAAAUUUACCUCAAUAAUAUGAAUGUUCAGGUUAAGAUUGUGCAGUGAUAUUAUGUAAGUUUAGCUGAUUAAAGUUUAUGACUCUGCACUAAAAUAUUAUUUAAAUUGACAUUAUUAUAAUAUUUAGGGUCAGACCCUACAGUAUUGAGAUUAAGAAAUCAAAUAUUCUAUAAAAUGUAAAUACACUGAACUCAUUUGGAUAUAUUUAAGUGAGACUCUACAAUAUUAUUUGACACAAAUCUAUCUAAAUCAAAAUUUUAAUAAUUUUCACGCCAAACAUUUACUGGACUGAUUUAAAUAUUAAAAUCACUCCUUUCUAAUCCUCUGCUGUACGUUCAAACCUGAGGCCUUAAAUAGAAACACACAAGUAUCUGAUUGAAGGAACUUCUGUAGAGUCCUGGUUCCAGAACAUGAUGAUAGAAACAAACUUUAACAAAAGCUGCCUGAGAGUUUACAGGUUUUUAUGUUGGAUUUCUUCAGUAAUUUAAUGAGCGUUAUCAGCAAUAAUCAAGUGUUCAUUUGAUGAACUUCAUUUCCUAAUACAUCCAGAAUUGGAGCUCAUAUCUUUUGCAGCUGUAAAGUUUCUGCUCCUUCAAAGUUCACAACACAAUGAAUGAAUUCCUAAAACACUCUCAAUGCUGAAGCAGUGAUCAGUUUUUUUGUUUCUUCUCUGGAGAUGCACAAUGAGGGACGUCUGCAGUGACUGAGAAAGAGUCUCACCACAUCCUGACAUGAGGAAAAAGACUUUAUUGAAGACUACAAUGAGAAAAACUAUCAGACAGCAGACGGCUGCAUUCAAGAGAAGAAGACCAUCAAACAUCCACGUCAGCUGAUGGAGGUCCAAGAGUCUCACCGAACAACCAACCUACAGAGUGAAGACCUCCAAUCUGAUUGGACGGCCUCCUAUUCAGCCACAUGUGUGAACAAAUGCCUCUAAGCUGAUUUGUUUUCUAAAAUAAAUCUAGUUUGAGUCCUAAUCUAUGCCUGUGUGUUUGCUUCUUUACACCGCUGUUAACAGUUUAGGCUGUUAGAUUGUUCCAGAUAAGACAAGUACAAGAUUCUUCAGAGCCGUUCUACCACGAGCCUGACAGGAAGAACUCCAACAGCUACUGAAUGUUCCUGUGGUUCCCUCAAGGCUACAGGAGGAGCCCUAUGAGGACGAGCCAGUCCACCUGAUGGAGGCCAGUCGCUGCGGUUCAAAGCCAACACAGACUACGUGGACUUCUACUGGACCACACGGAGGCCUUCAAACCGGACCAACAAGUUCACGACUCCCCGACUCGUGGGUCUGAGGACGCCGCCGAGCCUCGGUCCAGCCGGCCGCCUGUCUGUGGGUGUUUGAGUGCUGAGAGCUGCAUGCCUUCGUCCACCCGGCCUCCGUUGACUCGUCCCGCCUGCCGUCUCUGGAGCAGAAGCUGGAUUGGAACAGACCAAAGUACAGUCCAAUCACGAUGCCAGCUGCCUCUCAAAAGGCUCCUUCAUCUGGCAGGUGGCGGCACUUCUUCUGAGGGGAAGCAGAGCUGGCC